AACGAACGCUGGCGGCAUGCCUAACACAUGCAAGUCGAACGAGACCUUCGGGUCUAGUGGCGCACGGGUGCGUAACGCGUGGGAACCUUCCCUUAGGUUCGGAAUAACUCCCCGAAAGGGGUGCUAAUACCGGAUAAUGUCUUCGGACCAAAGAUUUAUCGCCUUUGGAUGGGCCCGCGUUGGAUUAGCUAGUUGGUAGGGUAAAAGCCUACAAAGGCGACGAUCCAUAGCUGGUCUGAGAGGAUGAUCAGCCACACUGGGACUGAGACACGGCCCAGACUCCUACGGGAGGCAGCAGUGGGGAAUAUUGGACAAGGGGCGAAAGCCUGAUCCAGCAAUGCCGCGUGAGUGAUGAAGGCCUUAGGGUUGUAAAGCUCUUUUACCCGGGAUGAUAAUGACAGUACCGGGAGAAUAAGCACCGGCUAACUCCGUG
rnacentral:rRNA from 1 species